rnacentral:rRNA from 1 species
UACGUAGGGGGCAAGCGUUGUCCGGAAUCAUUGGGCGUAAAGAGCGUGUAGGCGGCCCGGUAAGUCCGCUGUGAAAGUCCAGGGCUCAACCCUGGGAUGCCGGUGGAUACUGUCGAGCUCGAGUCCGGAAGAGGAGUGUGGAAUUCCUGGUGUAGCGGUGAAAUGCGCAGAUAUCAGGAGGAACACCAAUGGCGAAGGCAGCACUCUGGGACGUGACUGACGCUGAGACGCGAAAGCGUGGGGAGCAAACAGG